AUUGAACGCUGGCGGCAUGCUUUACACACGCGAGUCGAACGGUAACAGGGAGCUUGCUCCGCUGACGAGUGGCGAACGGGUGAGUAAUGCGUCGGAACGUGCCGAGUAGUGGGGGAUAACGCAUCGAAAGGUGUGCUAAUACCGCAUACGUACUGAGGUAGAAAGUGGGGGACCUUCGGGCCUCACGCUAUUCGAGCGGCCGACGUCUGAUUAGCUAGUUGGUGAGGUAAAGGCUCACCAAGGCGACGAUCAGUAGCGGGUCUGAGAGGAUGAUCCGCCACACUGGGACUGAGACACGGCCCAGACUCCUACGGGAGGCAGCAGUGGGGAAUUUUGGACAAUGGGCGCAAGCCUGAUCCAGCCAUGCCGCGUGUCUGAAGAAGGCCUUCGGGUUGUAAAGGACUUUUGUCCGGGAGCAAAUGCCUGGUGUUAAUAGCACUGGGAGCUGAGAGUACCGGAAGAAUAAGCACCGGCUAACUACGUGCCAGCCGCCGCUGUAACAC
rnacentral:rRNA from 1 species